CUUGUAUUUCAUCGCGUUCUGACGUCAUGGUAUCAACGUAGUCUUCUUCUGCUCCACACAUAUUUCAUUUCUAUUCGUUUUCUGUGUCGUACCCCUAUUCUCCAGAUAGGCCACGGCUCUGUUGACAGGCUGUACACGACCAUGUAGAUCCAGGAUCUGGUUCUUUUGUCCGUCUACUCAUGGACAGCUGUUGAUUUCUUUGUACGGCCGUUUUGGACUGUUUCUGC